UGUGUAGUGUAUGUGAUUUUUUUUUAUUUAAAUUUUCAGCAUUUUUUUUUUGUUGGCAAAAUAAGUAUUUACUGGGUUUGAAUUGUUAGAACGUAGAAAAAUGAUAUGUUUUCGAUUUCAGAUUUCGUCUUAUGUUUUGAAUGAAAACUGAAAUUUGUAUAGGGGUUCUUCUUGUUGUUGCAUUGCAUCUCAACAACGCAAAAAACUCAACUAACUCUAGUAUGAUUGUGCUAUGACCUUUCAAAUCAAUCUCAACCAAGAUCUUUAAGAUGCAAAAAAAAAUCAAGAUUGUUCGAGAAUCAGUGAAGAGAUUUGUCAACAAAAAACAAUUGAAGAAUGUUUUUUAGAAGCAGAUCUAGAAGUGGUGGGAAAACAAAAGAGAUAGAAAGAGUUUGGAUCUAGAAGUCGUGCACUUGCGGAUUUUUCACUCAUCCACGGUGGAUGUUACGAGAGACUCAUCCAGAAGCUUUACCAGCUGGAUCGGAUUGGAAGCCAGUUGAAGCAGCGGCGUCAGCACCAUCAAGUUCUUGAAGCACAAGGCCAUUCAUAAAUUUUACCUAUGUUAACUGUGAGUGUGAAAGGCACGUGGGAAUAAGAAUGUAUUUGACAUGAUAUUUUUCUGCAUUCAUUUUCCUUCUAUUGAAAGUAAGUGCGCAUACGUUUUUCCUUUAGUCGAAUGUUGUCUUCGAUUUAUUAUUGUCUUCCUCUUUCUGAAACACUUUGCUGCUGCAACUACUCACGCGGAGGAAUCCUGGGAUAUUGAAGUCUUCGUUUAUGGUUUAUACAAGAUUUGAAAGCAUAUCAUAAUUCUUCUGCAAUGACUGUUUAGUUUUGGUCAUGAUUUGAUGACAUGGUUUUAUUAUGGGAGUGAUUAUGUUUAGACAUUGUUUUAAUAGGUUUCCAUCAGAUUGGACCUGUUAAACGGAGUAGAUCCAACAAUAGUGUAGAUUAAGGGACAUUUGUUGAUAACAAAAUAUUUCAUCCUUGACUAAUGACAAUGUGUUGUUUAUGUCUGAUUCAUUUCAGUUAUGUUGUUUGACCAAAUUAUAGGCAGCAGAGCUUUAUUUCACUUAAU